rnacentral:rRNA from 1 species
CCGCUCCUCGCCCCGCCGCAUCCCACCUCGUCCGCCCCCGCCCCGGCCGACCACCCGCCGCCACAGCCCCCCGUCUACAACAUCGACAAGUCCGACUUCCGCGACGUCGUCCAGAAGCUCACCGGCUCCCCCUCCCACCUCCUGCCGCCCCAGGCUGCGGCGGCCCCGCCGCCGGCGCGUCCCGUCAUGUCCCCUCCGCCUCCGCGCCCCAUCAUGGCCCCUCCGCCCCCGCCUCCGCUGUCCGCCAUCCCGUCCCGGCUCCACCGCAUCCGGCCGCCGCCGCUGGCCCCGCCCCGCCCGGCGGCCAUCCUGCCGUCGCCGGCCCAGCCGACGCUCUCCCCUCUCCCGGCGCUCCCUUCGGUCUGCAUGUCGGCGGAGUCCCCCAUCUCAGCCUACAUGCGCCGGCUCCGCGGGAUGCCGUCGCCGAUCCUCGUCCCCACAUCGCCUCUCGGGUUCGGCUGCCUCCACUCGCCUCGGGCGCCGACGUCUCCCGGCGUGGCCAUGCCGGCCACCAGCCCCCGCGUCCGCGACCCGUGA